UCUUACAUUUUAUCAGAAAAAUGUAUUAUGUGUAAUUAAAUUGACAAGCUAAAAUUAUUAUAAAGUGGCGCAAAACCAAAAUAAUAUGUGUUGUGUGCAAUGCGGUCUACUUAUAUACCUAAAUUGAAGGAGGUAACAGACUUUUGAUCGUGUCGAAGAAAAAGUGCAUUAUAUAGGGAAAUAGUUCAGAGGAUUGGUGGUAGAAAUAGGUAAAAAUGUUGUCUGGCAGUAAUGAAACUUUUAAUGAAGCGAUGUGACCUAUGCUGGCAUGUUACUGGAAAAGUUAUGUCUAAUUUGGCCAUCAAGUGAAGAAAAGUCAUCACAGUUUGCUGCUCCCUCUGCUGGCUCGGUCCCAAGCUGAAGAUGGAAUUGUCAGAAUCUGAAAAAGACACAUCAGACAUAAAUAAAAUAUUUUUAAUGAACA